GAAAGUUUAGUCAAUAUAGAUAGGAAAUAGUUGUUCAUUUAUCAUCCUUGUGCUACAUUGUAUCAAAUAUCAGUCUUAUUCCUUUCAAUUUUAUAAUAUUGUGAACUUUCAUUUGUAGUAGAACUGGAAGUGCAAUGUUAUUAUCUAUACGUGCAAGACUUUCGCGUUUAAGAAGUAAAGAUCUGGCUGCCAUAAACUGUCGAAGAAUUCAGGAGGCAGUGUCACGUAAUCGUCGCCCUCCUCGAAAAUCUCGUCCGGCAUAUCAAGUCGAGAUUCGAUCCAACUCUGACGAACGAACAUGUCUACCCUAUUUGAUGUAAUUUGAUGUAAUUCUGUUAUUUCUGUGGCAACUGUUGAAUACGUAACAUGUAAUUAUUUGAAAUAGUAAAACACAAAUAGAUAAU
rnacentral:misc_RNA from 1 species